UACGUAGGCAGCAAGCGUUGUUCGGAAUUACUGGGCGUAAAGAGUGUGUAGGCGGUGCUCUAAGUCUGUUGUGAAAUCUCCCGGCUUAACCGGGAGGGUGCGGCGGAAACUGGAGUGCUUGAGGGUGGGAGAGGUAAGCGGAAUUCCUGGUGUAGCGGUGAAAUGCGUAGAUAUCGGGAGGAACACCAGUGGCGAAGGCGGCCACCUGGACGGAUACUGACGCUGAGACGCGAAAGCGUGGGUAGCAAACAGG
rnacentral:rRNA from 1 species